CGGGAUCCCUCCGCCGCGAUGGGUCUGGCUCUGGGUAGCGAAGCAGGAAGAGGGUUCUGGUGGCGUUCCUUCCCGGCCCUGCCUCCCUCGAGCUGGGAAUAUACGUUACAUUGCACCAAAACGUUCCCUUGCGGGGAAGGAUUUCGCAUCUCGAGGACGGAGACGCGGUGCGCGCGACUCCUGCGGCGCUCCGUGUGAGCUCAGGGAGUUACUGCCAGAGACCAUGGCUGGGGAGAGAGAAACCGAAACGGGGCGGUGGUGAGGGCCCACUUCUGCCUUCAGAACAGAAGGAAGAAGAAAAAAGACAAAACUCUCCCUGGUUACGGCUGCAACAGAAAUAGGGCUGUGGCGUGUUAGCGUCUCUGUUUCAGCCUUACGUUGUAAUGGUUACCAGCAGCCUCGUUUCAUUUUUAUGGUCAUCCCGGUUUCUUGGUUGCAUGACACUUCUAUUGGGACACCGUUCUUAAUAAUUUAACCUUUUAUGAGAUCGUUUUGAUUUACAGUGCAGAUUAGAGCAGACUGAAAAGGCAUGAUAUCACCCGCUGGCUGCUGGCUCCUCUGCGCCCCAUGCAAAGGUCUCCACUGUUGAAGACGUCAGGAGCGAGGUCUCAUUUUCCUUCCCCAGCCAGCCAGUCAUUUUCUAAUCUUAUUUUUACUUAAGUGAAGAAUCGCAUUCAGAUACUGUAACUCUGCCGUGCUGAGCUGUGCAGAAUCUACACUGAGUUUUGGAUUCAAUGGAUGGCUUGUUUGCUCACUGGAGUCCCAAGUCACAUAAACUAUGUUGAAAAUAGAAUUGAAACCACAGCUCGA